ensembl:lncRNA
CUUCACAAUCCACAAUCCAGCAUUACAUACUGGGCAUCUCAGUAAUGAAGGGUGAUGGCAUAUUUAUAAAGUGUCUUUUUCUGAGAGAAGUUGCUGGGAUCAAGAAAGCCAGAUUUCAAGUCAAAUUACAGGAUUCCACUUAAAAUUAAUGAACGUGUGCUUGAGACAUUCCUCACAAACUUGAGGAAAUGAGGCAAUCUCCCCUGCUUACAUCAACAGAAAAUAUUUGCCCUGGUGAUCAUAGAAUCAUAGAGUGGCUUAGGAUGGAGGGGGCCUUAAAGAUCCUUAAAAAUCAUCUAGUUCCACCCCCCUGUCAUGUCUUUCCUCUGAAGUCUGAGAAUAGAUGAGCACUUGAGUAGGAUGAACUCCAUCUGGAAUGGAAAGGAACUCUCCGAGCAGCCAUCCUGCCAUCUCCUGUCAUAAUGCCCUUGUGAUAUUGUCCUGUUUUGGACAGUGCCCUCGCUUUACUCCAUUCCUUCUCUGUCCUUCUUUAGGAUGGCUGUUGUCUGGUCUGCAGUCCCAUUUAAGUGCAGUGUGAGGUCAUUAUCUCCAGGCUGUUACCUCUUCCACAGUAGUUUAAGUUUCUCUGGUUGGGAAUAAAAAUCCCUUUUCACCUCCUUGUUGCCUCUUCAAAUCCAGGACAGCUUUGUACUCCUGUGUUCUUUUCUGAUUAGAUAUUCAUUAGAAUUUACAGGCAACCAAAACAGGCAUUUUCAGAAUUUUCAGGCAGCUGAAAAUAUUACUAUGAUGAAGAUCAAUUAAUUGAAUUAUAGAAAGAAUAGGCUGAAAACUAAACUCUUUUAUUCUUUGUCUAUCUCGUGCCAGAACUCCUGUUUUAUACAAACCAGUGACACAAGAGCCAGGUCUUUUCUCCUCAGAAGUGCUUUUCAGAUAAGGAAAGUAGGUUUUCCUUUUAUUCAUAUUCUUGAAUGAGCUGUAAACAAAACUUCAAAAGCAUCCAUCUUGUCAUAAAUAUUAUCUGUGAAAAUUAACUAUGUCCCGUACUCCAGUUCAUCAGUAGAUGGAGGAAAAGAGUUCUUGCUCACCUGAGUUUCAGACCCCAGGGGCUACAAAAAUAUGACAGUAAGAAGAACUGAUGGAUAAUAUUUUACCAUCUGCUGCUCUCCUUAGCUUCAGCUGCUUGACUUAUGUGUAAACGAACCUAUUGCAACUUCUAGAUUUAUACAUGAAAUGAUUUGUGAGUUCACAGAAUCGCUGCGAAGUUUCUUUUUUUCAGGUAGUCCUUAUCUUCCAAAGGUUUCCAGAACUUACUUGCCUGGCUGAAUCUAGGGAAUGCAUCUAUCUGCAAUUAAAUUCUUCUUUCUGCUGCCUUUGUUAUUUAACUAUGAGGCAUAUGAGGUAGGAUGUUUACGAACUAUGUGGCAAAAUGCAACUAUAUUUCAGUCUGCAUUUCUCUAUAAUUAAUGAAUAAAAUGAAAACCGUUUGUUUGUACAAUAAACCAAUACACAAAACAUGCAAAGUUUCUUACAUGGAAGAUCUUAUCAGAGAAAUAAUUAUUCCCUGAAAUUACAAGUACUGUGCUUGAAUUCUCAAGAGCAUCUUACAGCACAGACUGGUGUUUCAUUAUUCCAGUUUCAUGUUACUCUAAGAUCACUAAUCCUAAACCUUUAUUUGGAAUUAGAAUAUAGACUGUAAUUCUUCAUGGACAGAAAUGUAUUUUGUACCAGCAAUCUACUAAAAACCACACCAAAUUAGCAUUUUGAUCUUUACUUGCUGCAGAUCACAGCAUGUAUCUGUUGUCUAUGUCUUUGCAACACAGCUUGGGAGAUAUAUAGAAUUGUGGAUGUCUUUAGUAUUAGCAAGAAUAUUAAGCAAAAAAAUGGUAAAAACCAUGGGGUAAACAAUAGCACUGCUCCUUAUUACAACGGUGUCCCAGUUCUGUAUCCAGAUUUGGAUGCUGAUUUCUGUAUCAAUGAGACAAAAAAGACAUAUUUAGAAUAUGGCAUUGUUAAUCUUUUCCUUUCCAUUUUCCUUUUCCUUUUCUGUUUCUUUUUCUUUCUCUGUUUCUUUUUUUUUCUUUUUUUUUUCUUUUUCUCCUUUUUCUUUUUCCUUUUCUUUCUUUUUCUUUUUCUCCCAUCACCACUUUAUAGCCAAAUUUCCUUUCCAUUGCAAUGGAAAAGCACAACUUCCCCAUCAAAAACCAGACUUGAAAGUGAAAAUGAAAAUUAUUUUCCCUCAAAGAGAAAUACAGUGAGUGUAUACUGAAAUACCUAUUCACAUUAAUAGCUUUUAAAUGUUAUUUUUAAAAUAUUUAAAUUCACUCUAAAUACUUAGUAGGAAGUGAGGAAUGUCACUGUGAACUGCUGAUAGUUGCAGAGUGCUUGACUGCAGAGCAGAAAGCAAAGAUGGCAUUCAGUUGUAUGGGAAGCAGCACAGGAAGUAAUUCAGAAGACACAAUAAAAGUGAAAUUCAAGGAGUGAGAUGCAAUCAAACAUAUGCCACGGUGAAAAAUCCUCAGCAGAUAUUCUAGAAACUGGGAUCUGAAAGGCUCAGACUGUUUAUGGAGGAGGGAGGCAGGCAGUUUUGAGAGGACUAUUAUAAAACCAAGAAUGAUAAAAAGGUCAAUCGUGCAACAAGGGACUUUCAAUACAGCCAAAAGGCUUUACUGAAGGCUUAUUCAAAGCUUAGAAAAGGAGAUCUGAAUAAUGCAUAAUUAACCUGAAACAUAUUGUCACAACAUUUCACCAGCAGGAAGAAAUAAGAGAAAUGUAAAAAGAAGGUAAAAAGAAGCUCCAGUGUUAGUUAGGAAGUACAAAUGUUAAUCAAGUGCCAGACAUGACAUACAUAAUAUUCUUAGUCUUUAAUUAUAUGUUCAUGGCCUAAUUUUUGCCCGGGAUCCCUGCCUUAAGCAGAGAAAAAGUGAAUACAUGCACGGAACUGUGCUUGAAUGCAUUGUUCAAAACCUACCUCCUGUUUAAUGCCAGAGAGGUUGGCUUUGCCACAACAUUGGUCUUCUUGUUUAAAAUUUGUGUAGUGCAGUGACCUUUGUAUGAAAGAUUUCAAAGUCAAAGUCCCAAGUGUAAUAUACUGGGGGAGCAUGAGGUCACUGGUACCAACACUGUGACACCAGGAUGGAUCAAAUGGUGUAUCUUGUACUGAGUUUGCCCAUAUCUGCCCAUUUUCUUCCAUUUUCAGCAGGAAAGGACUUGAGGCCUGGACAGGAAGCAAGUUGAACAUGAGGGAGCAAUGUGCCCUUGCAACAGUGAAGAUAAAACAAGUCUUGGGCCACAUCUGCAAGCCUGUAGCCAGCAGAUCAAGGGAAGUGAUUGAUAAUUCUACUCCAGUUAGCAUGUAUUAGGCCACGCCUGGAACCACGGCUCCAGAUUUGAUCCUAUCAGUUAAAGAGAAACCUUGAAGAAAUGGAGAUGCCCAGUGGAGUGCCACUGAUAGGAUCAGAUAGUUUGAGAAUGUGACACAUGAGGAAAUGUUGAAGUAAACUGUUCUGCUAACCUUAAAUUAGGACAAGUUAAAGGGGAUAUAAUCACAGGCUUCCAAUAGUGGUAAAGGAGUUGUAAAGAAGUGGGGGUGUCAUCUGACACAAUUCCCUUGCAGUUAACAGAGACGUCUACAGCUAGAUCAGGUUGCUCAGAGCCCCGUCCAGUCUUCCCUUGAGUGUCCGAAGGGAUGGGAGGGCUUCCGUCACCUGUCUGGGCAACCUGUUCCAAUGUCUCACCACCCUUACUGAAAUAAACUUUUGUCCUUGUAUCCAGUCUAAAUCUCCCCUCUUGCAGUUUGAGGAAGAAUCAUCUGGUUUGAAGAUGCUUCUGGAAAGAGCUAGAAGACGAACAAUAGGGCAAGGUCAUUGACAGCCUUUAGUCUCUGACCUGGUACAAAGGACAAGCAUGACUUAAGGGAUUUUUCCUGUCUUUGCUCCCUAAAUAUUCUGAAUAAUAUUUCCUAUCUCCUGCUAUGACCUUCACUAUGACAGUGGCUGUCAAGUGAUUGCCCUAAUGAGCAUCUCUUCAAAUGGAAGGAAGUGUUGAACCAUAUCUUCCAGCAGCAGCGUAUUACAUUGUCUCUUAACUUAAUGGAUUUGUUAUUAUUGCCUCAGUUAGAAAAGUGUAGCAGUCACUGCUAAGGUGAAUUACGAGAGGUUAACAAUGAAAAGUAAGCUUUGUAUACUAAGCCGAUGACUCAUACAGAUCCCUUCAAGAGAUGCACAUAUUAACAACAGCUGGAAAAUUUCAGACAACAUAAAAAAUAAACCAUUGCUUUUCUAACCUCAGGUGUUGUAAAUAUACUUGGGAAUUUAGUACUGAUCAUAUCUAAUUUCAGAGCAUUGGUGGAAAAUACUGCAUCACAGUGGUUACAGUGGGACUUUUGAUUUAUCUCUCUGACAAGCAUCAGACACUUCAAUGUCUUGAUGACAAAAAAGCACAGAAGAGGACAGAUACGCAAAUUGCAAUAGGAGUGAUUUAUGCGCAGUGAGGAAGAACUCCAUAUGUGCGUACAAUCAUCUUUUCAUUUUGGCUGCUAUAUGCUUAUCUGAAGCUAUUUCUGUGCCUGAUUUAUAUGGCAUCCAGUGGGUUUCUGAUUGGUGAGCACCUGCAAGGCUAACUUUACUUUAGAAACACAUCCAUAUCCCUGGACCAUCCAAUGGAGUUCAGAGAUUUUGAGAUGAACAGAAUGUACAUUCCUCAUGUGCUGCUUCAGUAUGUGUCUCCUUUCUGCACAUUAUACUGUGAGGUGGAAAAUGAGGAGGAAACUAUACAGAAUCAUAGAAUUGUAGAAUCACUAAGGUUGGAAAAGACCUACAGGAUCACCCAGUCCAACCCAUCACCAAUAGUUCUCACUAAACCAUGUCCCUCAGCUCAACGUCCAAAUGUUCCUUGAACACCUCCAGGGUCGGUGACUCCACCACCUCCUCUGGGCAGCCCAUUACAGUGCCUGACCACCCUUUCAGAGAUAACAAGCAGUCCUUUGAUUUGAAAGGAAUGUCAAUAUAUUUCAGCAUCACAUAUAUCUCUAAAAUGAGAGUUCAAGCUUCAGAGUCACUUUCUUGGAAAAAUAGGUCCCAAUUAAUCCUUCAAUAAUGCUUACUGGUUGUAUAUAAUUUAAACGCUAUAAGGUAAUAAUAAUGAAUAUCUGACCUGUGAGGCCAAAGAACUAUUACUGAUCAGGAUUUUAUUAUACAUAGCUAUUC